rnacentral:rRNA from 1 species
GACGAACGCUGGCGGCGUGCCUAAUACAUGCAAGUUGAGCGAUGAAGAUUGGUGCUUGCACCAAUUUGAAGAGCAGCGAACGGGUGAGUAACGCGUGGGGAAUCUGCCUUUGAGCGGGGGACAACAUUUGGAAACGAAUGCUAAUACCGCAUAACAACUUUAAACAUAAGUUUUAAGUUUGAAAGAUGCAAUUGCAUCACUCAAAGAUGAUCCCGCGUUGUAUUAGCUAGUUGGUGAGGUAAAGGCUCACCAAGGCGAUGAUACAUAGCCGACCUGAGAGGGUGAUCGGCCACAUGGGGACUGAAGCACGGCCAAAAACCCUACGGGAGGCCGCAGUAGGGAAUUUUCGGCAAUGGACGAAAGUCUGACCGAGCAACCCCGGGGGAGUGAAGAAGGUUUUCGGUUGGUAAAACUUUGUGGGUAGAGAAGAACGUGGGUGAGGGGGGAAAGCCCAUCAAGUGGCGGGAACUCCCCAAAAAGGGACGGCUAACUACGU